AGAAGCCAUUUUGUAAUCAGUCUGGAGCCAGCCAUGAAAAGGGCAGGACUGGCUGUGUGAGGAGCUGGUGAGUCCCAGGCCUGCAUGCAUGGUUCCCCCUGAGAACAGGCCUCUAGGGAUCUGACAGCAGAUCCCUCAGCUGGGUUUUUCCUUCCCCAUUGAUGAUUCCCAAUUUGUAGCAUUUGCUGGGAAAUUUCUCCAGCCAGGCUGAGUUCGCCCUCCAGCUCCCUAGGUGAGAUCAGUCACCACAUGGUCAGUUCUGCUCUGUCUGCUAGUCCAGGGAAGCUGCCUGCUGAGUGUGUGACUGGAGGCUGGGCUAGGAGGCUAAAGUUUGGAUGUUAGUGUAGUUGUAUAACCUACACCUUGAGCCCUGCACCCCUUUGUGGUGAAGGGAAAUCUUGGGACGGACACAGCCUGAUUCCUGCCUGAGGAGGAUUCCUGCCAGCAGACAGCAGCCCCUCUGCAGUGACUGAGGAGUCCAGCGUCAUCUUCGAACCUGAGGAUCAUUCAUGGAGUUUGUAAAAGGCUAAAGCUCAUCCAGGGAAUGAAGUCUCCUCUCUUCUUCAGAUGCAUGUGGCUUCAAAAACACCCAGAAACAAACAAACAAAACAAACACAGUUCCUGGAACUGCUUAUGGUCAUCUGUUGAGGAAUGGGGAUAUCGGAGUGACAGCUGCAUCCAGAGAUGAGGACAGUCUUGUUACCACCGGUGGAACCACCAAAUCCAGCUAGUGGUAAUCUUCUUCCACAGGGUCAGUAGAAAGCUUUGGUUGUCAUCCCGCAGGGGAAGGGUGGACAGAUUUGUUCCGACCCUGUAAAGGGGGGGUAUGGGUCCUAUGGUCCCCGCUAUGGGCAAUAAGAAGGGUCAAAGGGGGGUUGUGCAGAUCCCCAUGGCAUGAGUACCAUCAGUUCUGAGGCAGGUGCUGAGGUAGCCUUAUGAAAGCUUAUAAUGUUCUGAACCUGAUGGUCAUUAGGAGAUCCAUUUACAGGUUACGGCUGUGAAUGUAUUCAUGUACAACAUUGUAAUUGUAGUGCAACUACAACAUUAUCUGACCACAGGGGGUGAAGUAAUCAGGCAGGGAGGGGCACCUCCCAAGCUAGUUGUUUUCAGAAAAGCAAAUUAAAAUACCUAUCCAUUGUCUAACCAGGCAGGGAUUUCCCUACACCCCCCCUGAAUUUCCCCAACACCCCCCAGCCCCAGUAGUCAACUAG